rnacentral:lncRNA from 1 species
UCUUCUCCUUCUCUGCCAUCAUCUUCUGUGUAAGGUGGUGGCUUUUGCUACAAAACCUAGUCCCUUCUGUUCCUCCUUACCCUUCUCCUUUAAGAAGAAUCUCUUUCUCAGCCCCCCGAGCUCCUCCACCUCCAUCUCUGAUGAGAUGGAGGAGCUCAGACCUGUAGAACAACCCCUAUCUCCUAGAUACAUCUUUAAUGCUGACUGUCCUCAGAAACGGAAGACUAACCGAAGAUCGCGGCCUCACAUCAGCCUCGUACGUGACGGGGUUGCGCUGAGGUGAUGGAGUCCAGGUAGGUAUAGAAAACCAACAACUUUGUUUCUCUAUUAGUGGAUGUUUCUUUUUUGUUGCUUCUUUAGUUUGAUCACCUUGUGGUCUAUGGCACUUGAGAUCUCUUUCUUCUUUUCAGUCUCCUUUCUCCACUAGUUUCGUUGCUUUAUAUCGUGCCAUGCAACACACUACGUAUGGUUACGAUGAUGAUCUCAUUUAGCUAGAUCUUGAUACAUUUUGAUGUAUCAACUGCGGUGGGAGAACAUGAAAGUGUAUUCCUUUUUUUUUCUUGGUCUGUAUGUAGCUAAUAAUGAAUAUUUCCAUUUUAUUUUCCUUUUGGAUCAUUAUCAUUCAUUGUACUUGUUUUAUGUUGGAACAAGUGUUGAACGUCUUCCUUAAUUUAUUUCUGUUUUGCCGCAAAAGCUUGGUCGCAUCUUUGAGGACCAAUGACGGUGUGCCUCAGUGCUUGUGGCCGCGGCUGGAUCAUGGAAAGAAACUGCAUCUCAGCUCCUGUUGUGUCCACUGGGAUGCAAGUCAAGACUUCUAAUGCCAUCACCAGGUGAUGCCGCUCACGGGGAAGCUCAAAGGGAAGAAGGCUCGAAGCAGAUUUGUAACAGGAGCACACCAGAUGGGAGGAAAAGUGAAUGCCCAUUUGGUGCGAAAGAAGCAAAGAAGUUCCCUGAGAGCGCUAAAGGAGGUUGACUAAAUGAUUGCUCGUUUAUGUCAGAUUUUGUAGAAGACUCAUUUAUUGUAAAAGAACAAAAGCAGUUCCUGUUAAUGUUAACAUUAAUUAUAGAGGAUAAGGAUGUAAAUGAAAAUUCCUUUACAAGCUUGUCGUUUCUUCUUCUUGA